AAUGGCUAUAAGUACAUGCCUUAUCAACUUUUGGCUUGCCACGUCACGAUGGAGGUGUAUUACAGUGCAGAAACACUCAGUGUGCCAGUGGAGAUGAUAGAAGGGAAGUGUGAAGCCAGAAAGAAGCAUGAUCUUCCAUCUCUGGAUGACCCUGCAAUCUUUGAGCAUAUCUUCUUCAAUGAAUACAUGUAUGAUCCUUCCAAAUGUUGGGUGGUGUAGAUAAAAGAGAAAGAUGGCGAUGAUGUUAAGAUGCAAGGACAAGGAAACAAGUGUACAUGGCUAUGGAACUUGACUAGAAAGUAGGUGGUAAGGAAGUUGUCGAAAUAGGAAGAAGACGAUGAUUUUUUGUAUAUUUGUUUAUUAUGUUAAACUUAUAUGUAUUUAUGCGUGAAUGAGUGUGAUGUGGAUAAGAUUGUUUGUGUU